CCGAUGUAGGAGAUAAAUCUCUGGGCUCCCGAAAUGUUUUUCAUUUUAAAAGUUCAAGUCAUCACUCAACAUGGGCCAGAGAAUACUAAGACCUUUGACAGUGAACCUCUUACAGGAUGGAGAAGCUGAGGCCUUAACUCACAAGGUUGUGCCUUUAUAAGGCAACAAAGCAAAAGCAAGUGUGUCAUAGAUGGAAACCUGUUUACCUAGAUCUCACCGACCUGUUGAGAGGAAAGGAGCCAACCUGGCCUGGUGACCUUCUCUGUGCAAGCAGGGAGCAGGCACACACCACCAAUGAGUGAAGAAGGCUGCUGUGGCAUGCUCGGGACCUAGAGGGAACCUGCCUCAUUGACAGGGGACAGCAGCUGCACAGCUCCAGACAAUCGUUGUCAAGGACGGGAAUGAGAUUCUAACAUGGCUGAUCUGAUUUUUCAAGAAAGAAAUGACUUCUGGCAACUGACAGGCUCCACGUUGAGUGUUCACACUGUGCCCAAUUCUGCCCUGAGCACUUUGCUUGGUUUCUCCACAACAAUAUUGUGAUCAGUAUAAUUACUGUUAUUCCCAUUUUAUAGAUGAGAAAAAUAGUAAUGGAGGAAAUGGAAGGAAAAAGGAUGGCCAUAAGUUGGAGGCAGGUGAAAGACCCAAAUUCAUGGAAGAGAAGUGAGUCACACAGGGAGCCAGUGGCAGAGCCACACCCCACAGAGCAAUCAACAUGCUCUACUCUGCAGACCUGCAACAGGGAGGGAAGCCAGACUCUGAUGCAAGAAGGAAAGACCAUGUGCUGGCUCAGUGUGUGCAGCCUGGACUGAGCUACUGAACUCUAAAUCCAAGGAUGACUAAUGUAAGCCUAAAGGGUAAUCUGCAAAUACUGCUCCAUUAAUAUUCAAUGAUAAAUGAUAUUGCUUUAGAAUCAAAUUCACAUAAACAGAAGCUUCAGCUGUAUGUCCGCACCCUGGGAACAUUAAAUUGUAAGCCACGUCUUGUACUUCCAUGAAUCAUCCAUACCAUCUACCCCAAGGCUCCGGACAUGGAAGCUACUGUGUAAACACUUAUUGACUGAAUGGGGCCACUCGAAAAAAUUGCUGAAGGGAGUUACAAUUAAGAGAAUGGCAAUGGGUGCAUUUCUAAAUGUAAUCUUUCAAAGCUUCAGACAGGUGGUCGGGUACAAAUGAAAUUUAUUUGUACGUUAAUUCUUCACAUAUUUACUGAAAACUACCCACAUCCUUCCAAAUGCUAAGAUGAUUUUGUGGGUUAAUUCUGUUUUUAAAAAAUAUAUAAAGAAACAGAUUAUUUCUCUACUGUCAAAUUUUCCAGGACAUGGAGAAAGAAAAAUGCAUGUACAUUCUCUCUCUUUUUUUUUUUUUUUUUUUUUGAGUCGGAGUCUCACUGCUGCUCAGGCUGGAGUGCAGUGGUGCCAUCUUGGCUCACUGCAAGCUCUGCCUCCCGGGUUCAUGCCAUUCUCCUGCCUCAGCCUCCCAAGUAACUGGGACUACAGGUGCCCACCACCACAUCUGGCUAAUUUUUUGUAUUUUUAGUAGAGAUGGGGUUUCACCUUGUUAGCCAGGAUGGUCUUGAUCUCCUGACCUCAUGAUCUGCCUGCACAUUCUUUUUAAAAAAAUGCUCGUACAUUCUUUUUACAGAGGCAGAAUGACAUUAAUACCAGACCUGAUGAAGACAGCACAAAAAGUAAAUCUCAACACAACCUCACAAUAUUAAUAAAGCAAAAAUUUUAAAUACAGUAAUGUAUUAGCAAACAGAACUCCAUGGUACACCAUGACCAAAUGAGGACAUGUAAGAAUGGCUUAAUAUCUGAAAAUAUAUUAGUAUAAUUUAUCAUAAUGCCAAGUCAAAGAAGACAAACCAUAUCACCAUGUCCGUAAAUGCAGAAAGGGUAUUUGGGGGGGAAAAAAACAUCAAAAUGUAAAUGCUAAAACACUAGAAAUAGCAAAUCUGAAAGUACUGACCACUGCAAUUAGACAGGAAAAUGACAUCAGGAGUCUAAAAAUUGCAAACAGGAAAUAACAUAAGAAAACUAAAUAUCAGAAAAAGAGGAGCAAUAUUAGAAUUACAGGCAGAUGGAACAAUUGUAUAUUCCUUAUAAACAUAAAGAAUCAAAAUUUUAAAGAAAUUAUUAGAAAUAAUAAGAGAAGUUGGUAACUGGAGGCAAAUAAAUAUACAAAAUUCAAAAGCAUUUUUAUUAAGUAUAAAUAAUACCCAGUUAAAAAACAACAAAAGAAAAGAUUCCUUGUACAAUAUCAACAACAAAAAAAAAACAGGUAAAAUACUUUGGAAUAAAUUUAACAAGAACUGCAAAAAUGAUCUUACAGCUCAACUGAAAGUGAUGAAAGUCUUCAACAGAUGCAAUCUUGCUUCUAGAUAGAAAAUCUCAAUAUUUUACGCCAGGCGUGGUGGCUCACAUCUGUAAUCCUAGCACUUUGGGAGACCAAGGCGGGCGGAUCACCUGAGAUCAGGAAUUUAAGACCAGCCUGGCCAAUAUGGUAAAACCCCAUCUUUACUAAAAAAUACAAAAAUUAGCCAGGUGUAGUGGCACGUGCCUGUAAUCCCAGCUACUCAGGAGGCUGAGGCACAACCAUCACUUGAACCCGGGAGGUGGAGGUUGCAGUGAGCCAAGAUCACACCACUGUACCCCAGCCUGGACGACAGAACAGACUCUGUCAAGAAAGAAAAGAAAGAAAAGAAAGAAAAGAAAGAGAGAGAGAGAGAGAGAGAGAGAAAGAAAGAAAGAGGGAAAGAAAGAAAGAGGGAAAGAAAGAAAGAGGGAAAGAAAGAAAAUCUCAAUAUUUUAAAGACGUAGCAUCUCCUCAAAUUGAAAUCUAUAAAUUUAUGUAAUCCAAGUAAACAGUAACAGUAGUAAAAUAUCCACAUACAUAUGGUUAUAUAUAAUAAGGUUAAUUUAUAUAUAGGGUUAUAUAUAACAUUUUAUAUAUAUAUAACAUAUAUAAAUAUAUAUAUUUACCUGCAAAAGUGAAAUGCAAGAAUGGGUAAGGAGUGAAAGGAAUGAGAGAAGAAUAAUUUACACAGAUAUAAAGAUGUGUAACAAAGCUGUAACUGAAAGAAUUUGGUAUACAAUAACAAAAAACAGUCAGUUCAAUAGAAGAAAAGAGAGAACAGAAGUAGACUGAAACCCAUAUGGAAAUGCAGUAGCUUUUUUAAAGGUUGUAUGUCAAGUCAGAGAGGGAAAAGAUUAAUAAAUGAUCUUAGAACACCUGACAAACUGCCAUUCAAAAACAAAUAAACUUGGAUUCCCAGCUUGCUCUUCACACAGAGACAAAUUCCAAAUGAAUCAAAAUUGUAACAUAUAAAACACAAUCAUAAAAGCACCAGAAGAAAACAUAAAUUUAGGGUGGGAGAUGGCCUUAAUUUUUAAAGUCAAAUGUAUCAAUAUUUUCCCUCAUGCCUUGUGGAGUCCAUGAUUAAUUUGAGUUAAAGCAAAAGUUAGAAAUAUUGUAGAAUGAAAAAAGCAGUUACACCAUAAACAAAACCAAAAGGCAAAGGACGACUGAGGAAAUAACAAACAAGGGAGAAAAACUAAGUCUGUAGCUUUGGGAGGUAGCAACACAAAUCAGGAGGAAGGAACAAAUGGUCCAGCCAGAUAAGAAUUUUUCCAGAAAAGAACCAAUGAUCAAACAGGCA
rnacentral:lncRNA from 1 species